UAAGCGGAGGAAAAGAAACUAACAAGGAUUCCCUUAGUAGCGGCGAGCGAAGCGGGAUGAGCUCAAAUUUGAAAUCUGGCGUCUUUCAGGCGUCCGAGUUGUAAUCUAUAGAAGCGUUUUCUGUGCUGGACCGUGUCCAAGUCCCUUGGAACAGGGUAUCAAAGAGGGUGACAAUCCCGUACUUGACACGACCACCAGUGCUCUGUGAUACGUUUUCUACGAGUCGAGUUGUUUGGGAAUGCAGCUCAAAAUGGGUGGUAAAUUCCAUCUAAAGCUAAAUAUUGGCGAGAGACCGAUAGCGAACAAGUACCGUGAGGGAAAGAUGAAAAGCACUUUGGAAAGAGAGUUAAACAGUACGUGAAAUUGUUGAAAGGGAAACGAUUGAAGUCAGUCGUGUCUAUUGGUUUCAGCCGGUUCUGCCGGUGUAUUACCUUUAGACGGGUCAACAUCAGUUUUGGACGGCGGAUAAUAGCAGUUUGAAUGUAUCACCUCCGGGUGUGUUAUAGCUUUCUGUUGCAUACGCUGUCCGAGACUGAGGACUGCAGCUUGCCGCAAGGCCGGGGUUUCGACCCACGUUACGAGCUUAGGAUGUUGACAUAAUGGCUUUAAACGACCCGUCUUGAAACACG
rnacentral:rRNA from 1 species